UAGGGAAUCUUCCACAAUGGACGCAAGUCUGAUGGAGCAACGCCGCGUGAGUGAAGAAGGGUUUCGGCUCGUAAAGCUCUGUUGUUAAAGAAGAACGUGGGUAAGAGUAACUGUUUACCCAGUGACGGUAUUUAACCAGAAAGCCACGGCUAACUACGUCNCG
rnacentral:rRNA from 1 species